rnacentral:rRNA from 1 species
CCUACGGGGGGCAGCAGUGGGGAAUAUUGGACAAUGGGCGAAAGCCUGAUCCAGCCAUGCCGCGUGUGUGAAGAAGGCCUUCGGGUUGUAAAGCACUUUCAGUGGGGAAGAAAGCCUUGGGGCUAAUACCCUCGAGGAAGGACAUCACCCACAGAAGAAGCACCGGCUAACUCCGUGCCAGCAGCCGCGGUAAUACGGAGGGUGCGAGCGUUAAUCGGAAUUACUGGGCGUAAAGCGCGCGUAGGCGGUCUGAUAAGCCGGUUGUGAAAGCCCCGGGCUCAACCUGGGAAUGGCAUCCGGAACUGUCAGGCUAGAGUGCAGGAGAGGAAGGUAGAAUUCCCGGUGUAGCGGUGAAAUGCGUAGAGAUCGGGAGGAAUACCAGUGGCGAAGGCGGCCUUCUGGACUGACACUGACGCUGAGGUGCGAAAGCGUGGGUAGCAAACAGGAUUAGAUACCCUGGUAGUC